rnacentral:rRNA from 1 species
CUCCCGCCGGCGACCGGCGCACGGGUGAGUAACACGUAUGAAACCUGCCCGUAGCAGGGGGAUAAGCGGAAGAAAUUCCGUCUAAUACCGCGUAACAACCCGAGGAGGCAUCUCCUCGGGUUUAAAGGAAGCGAUUCCGGCUACGGAUGGUCAUGCGUCGCAUUAGCUUGUUGGCGGGGUAACGGCCCACCGAGGCGACGAUGCGUAGGGGUUCUGAGAGGAAGGCCCCCCACACUGGUACUGAGACACGGACCAGACUCCUACGGGAGGCAGCAG